rnacentral:rRNA from 1 species
AAGGUAGCAUAAUAAAUUGACUUUUAAUUGAAGUCUAGAAUGAAAGGAUUAAUGAAUAUAGUCUGUCUUAAUUAAAUUUAUUUAAAUUUCUUAUUAAGUGAAAAUUCUUUUUUAUUUUAAUAGACGAGAAGACCCUAGGAGUUUUUUUGUUGGGGCAACAUUAUAACAAAUAACUUAUAUAAUUUACAAGAUGUAACAAAAUUUUUAAUUAAAAAUAAACUACCCUAGGGAUAACAGCAUAAAGUUUGUGACCUCGAUGUUGGAUUAGGAAUUUUAGUAUUAACUAUAUUAAUAGAUUUGUUCUGUUCGAACAUUUAUACCU